AUGUUCUUCUGUUUGCUGGAUGUCAGUCCUACAGGGCUGCUGUUUUGCCCACUUGCAGGAGACGCACUGUGGCCUGUUCCCAUUGUGGUCCACACCGUGGCUCCGCCCAGAGUUGUGCAGUGCAGAGUCCUGCUGUCUUCCCCGCAGAAGGGAAGCUUCACCUAGACAGGUCCAUUGCAGGAAUCCUCCCUGGUCACUGUAGGUCUGGCAGCCAACAGGUCUGAUGCACAAUAGGCACUCAAUCAAUAUGUGUUGGAUGUUAUUAAUAAAAGGAAGAACUAACAUGCAUUACUAGGUGACAGACACUCUAUGCUCAACCCUGAGAACUGCCAUCCUCAUUUUACUCUUGAGGACUCGGGCUGAGUGACAGGAGGUCUAUUGAUGGACGCCCUGUAGUGAGUGGAGGUUUCAGCCAGGACCGACUGGUUCCCUAAGAUAAGAAAGUGAAAGAAAGACUACUAAAUUCCAGCAGCCUUGAGCAGUUGGGAUGAGGAUUAGAAGAACAGGACAGUUGAAAGUCAUCCCAAUGUCUCACUUCUGCCACUGGGAGGCCUGUCCUUUACCUUGUGCCUCUGCUGCCAAGAAGGGAGGCAGGAAGGCCCCAGGAUGCUGGCAAGGGAACCUGGGGAUUCAGACACCUGGAGAAUCAGACAGGUCAAGGACCUCUGGGACCAGACUGAGGUCCCAGGAAGCCUCUCAGGCCCCAGUGCUGAGUGUGCGCUUGUGAAUGGGUGCACACGUGUCCAGAUGGUGGUGGGGACAGGGGCAAAGACAAUGCCUCCCUCCUUUUGCUCAGUCCCACAUUUCCCCCUGUCUUCUUGGCCCAGUCUGCUCUCCUGCCGGGGGAAAGACCUUCAUGCCCAUUUGUGAUGGACCCAGGGUGCGGGCCAGUCUUUUCUGGUCUGGGAGUCCUUAGUGCCUCUGACCCAGACUCCCUCCUUUGGGCUUCUUGAGUUCCC
rnacentral:lncRNA from 1 species